rnacentral:rRNA from 1 species
AACGCGAAGAACCUUACCAGGUCUUGACAUGCACUGGACCGGCGCUGAAAGGCGCUCUUCCCGCAAGGGACCGGUGCACAGGUGCUGCAUGGCUGUCGUCAGCUCGUGUCGUGAGAUGUUGCGUUAAGUCGCGCAACGAGCGCAACCCCUGUCCUUAGUUGCCAUCAUUAAGUUGGGCACUCUAGGGAGACAAACCCUCUUUGAGGGUGGGAAGGUGGGGAUGACGUCAAGUCAGGAUGGCCCUUACGACCUGGGCUGCACACGUGCUACAAUGCCCAGUACAGAGGGAAGCAAGACCGCGAGGUGGAGCAAAUCCUCAAAACUGGGCCCAGUUCAGAUUGUAGUCUGCAACUCGACUACAUGAAGUUGGAAUCGCUAGUAAUGGCGCAUCAGCUACGGCGCCGUGAAUACGUUCCCGGGCCUUGUACACACCGUAGAGAC